GGGGCAUACAAAGUGUGUGCACUGUUUUACAACUGCUGACCUCAUCUAAUUGUAUCACAUGUCUGCAGGGGUGUGCAAAUCCAAAUAUCAGUGAUAAUGAUGCAAAGUAAUUAUCAAAACCAUUAUGGCUAACAAAGCUUUUAUUUUCCGGUAACCUAGUACUCCAAUAGUCUGUCAGUCCAUUGCAUUGUAAAUACUCUUCAAAAGCCUCCACCCUGCUGCUUAUUGCUUCUGCACUUGUUUACCAUGGAAACAUUGCACAAAGAAUCUAUGCUAAAAUCUUUUUCUUUUUUGGGGGGGGGGAAUGCAAGACACCUGAUCUGACAUGUCAUUCACUUAGCUCAACAUUUUAAUGCAUGCAAUACUAUCCUGCAGAUAUGGGUGUGUUUUCUAAAAACUAAUUUCAACAGUUCCCAGUGGGGAAAUUAAACUGUAGCCGUCAGCUCAUUCUUACCUAUGCGGCUUCCUAUGUGAGCACACAAAUGAGCAGGGAGGGGAGCCCUCAGUUUAAAUGGUUCGGUUUGCAAAUACAUUAUUCAUGUUCAUCCAGCAAACACUAAUAUAUUUUACCUGUCGCUAUUUUUUUUUUUUUUUUUUUUUUUUUUUUUUUUUUUUAAUUCAUUAUAUUGAGACUUUUUCCCCCACUUGCCUUAAACUUGGUGAACGAAUUCUGGGAUAUGUUGUGAUAUUUCUUAGAGGCAGUUGUCUCCUCACACUACAAGCCCUGAAUGUCACUAAUGAUUCCUCAAGAAAUAAAAUCACCCUCACUUUAGCAGAGAAUAUUCCCCGAGGGGUUACCAAACAGGGGAAAAUUGCAAAUGUCAGUUUGUGGCAAAACUGUUUGACAGGUGAAAAGGCAUUCACAGUAAUGAGCAGCUUACAUCACCCACAGCGCACUCCGCCCCCCCCCAUUCAAUUUCUGAUGGCCAGUAUGGUUGCUCUUAUAAAAUUUUAAGAUGACUGAAUUUUAUAAUUCAAAAUGUUACUUGUUCUGAAAGGAUUACUGAAGUCUCCAAACUUGAAGAGCUUCUUAACGAUGUCUUGGCUGCCAACAAAUUGGUGCUGUAACACUCAUGAACUGGCAUGUGAAUUCUAUCACUUCAACCAAAUAGGUGAGGUGUCAAGAUCAGUAUCCAGCUUAUUGGAAGUGAUUAAGAACAACUAAAAAUUUGUAAAUGGGAUGCUGCCAGAAAGCGUAAAUUGCUGAUGGAAAAGCAGAGGGAAUGGGAGGGAGCCUGCUAAGCUGUGAAUGGCCUUCUCAUAGUGAGGUAACAACAAAUUAGGAUGUCAGGAUGUAGGUGUAAACAUCCAACACCUUCUGACAUUGGUCCCAACACUUUGUGUCUAAAAAAAAAAGUGUUUUUAAACACUCUUAAAACAGUCUUCAUUGU
ensembl:lncRNA